ensembl:lncRNA
AGUUCUCCAGCUCUGGGUCAAGACCCUCAUAACGCUGUUUCCUCAGCCAGGCUGGGUCGUGCAGAUUUCUCUUGGAGAGAGAGUCUCCAGCUGCCAUCACACAAAAACAUCUUCACAUGCGUGCAGCAGCAGUGAGCUACAUCAAACAGGGCUGGUCAGGCACCCCAUAGACUUUCAACUUCAGAGCCACAUCUAGACUUUUCUUUUGACUCCCUCUGUCUCCAAGACCACCACACAGGGUCAGAGAGCACUGUACACGGUCCUAGGGACUUUUCAUGCCAGUUCCUCAGAGACGAGAUGGCAAAACAAUCAGGAUUCCAGACUAAUGGAACAGGAAGACAUUUAUUAUGGACAACUUUGGCAGUGGGAAAGACAGCAGCAGAGUAUCUGGGAGCUGUCGUGGACACCUCUACCUCUGCGUUUCUGCUGGUGUGAAUGUAGCAAGAUUCCUGCAGCUGACCGCAGCUCUUCCGAUGACAGGUUGGAUUCAAACAAAGCUGCAUGUCUCAGCACUGACUUUUACAAGGAUCUACAAUUACUUCUGUGGCAUGUUUAAGAAUAUGGACCAAAUGCUUAGAAGGUACAGAAACUAAAAACAUGCUAAAUGUUCGUUUGUUUAGUAUUUAGCUCUAGAACUUUGUCUGAAGAGCUGACAAUGCAUCAAAAUCAAUGGGUUCCGACAGUGGAAACAAAGCUAUUGUGUAAAUAACGUAGGUGCCACAGUGAAUAAAAGGUAUGCUUAACAAUUGGGUAAUGAUGCU